rnacentral:lncRNA from 1 species
UGCUUAAUAACUUUGAGAUGAUAGAAGGCCAUCUUUGCUAGCCUAUAUAUCCCAUAUUUGUCCUUUUACUAUAUAUGAUCCUAGUUCGCCCCCUUUGAGCCUUAUUUUCUAUUUUAUUUGAUUUAGCCAUGGGUGAGAACUUGGAGAUUGUUGAUGUGGGGUAGUUGGCGUUGUGGAGAUGUGUGAUUUUGAAUUAUGAAUUUUGUUCUUGAUUGGAAAAUCCUAGUACCCUAACUUGUUUGAAAAAAAAAUGAAAAAAGAAAGAAAUAAAAAAAAAUAAAAAGAAAAAAAGAGGUACAUAGGAUGCUUUAGAAAGUCAUAAUGUCAUGAGGAAUAAUUGAUGAGUUGUGAUGGAUUUUGUAUUGAAAAUUUUAGUUUUAUGGGAGG